GUAAGAAACGAGACACACCUCCGGCUCUCGAUGUACUUGGUGUCGUGAUCUCCAUCGGUUAAGCAGGUCCCAUCCUCGAGCUCCAGCUGAUCCAGGAACAGGAUAAUGGCACUGGCUUGCAACGGAUCGACGAGAGCUCCCUGCUGCUGACCAAAUCUCCAGUUCCUCCAACGCCGACGAACGUGAAGGACGCAGCGAAAUAAGCUUUGCAGCGCGCGAUCUCCCCGAUCCUCAGCACUUUCUUCCCGUCCCUGGAGGAAAGAAAUCACGCUGCGUGAGCUCUUGGAGGAUGGGAGGAAGAUGGUGGUAGCCAUCGAAGUAGAAGUCGCAGGCCUGCGAGAGCUCGACGUAUUUCUGGAGCUCGGCGCACUGCGAUUCGGCAUUGCGGAUCUCGAGCAAGAGGCGCGCAAGGAAGAAUAAAGCCAGGUAUGCGCGGCUCAUGCCUCUGUGCCUUCCUUGUUCUUCGUCUUUCUUCGUUUCACUCAAACACAAUCUUGUUGCCUGCCAAAAGUAAAGUAAAUUAACGUAACUGGUUUAGGGUUUUUUAAAAUUAACUACUUUUUUGAAAAACCCUAAACCCUUCAAUGUAA